rnacentral:rRNA from 1 species
CCUUAACCUGCUAACUAGCUAAACUAACCGCAGUUAGGAUAGCUUCUUAGAGGGACUAGCCAUGUUUAAUGGCUGGAAGUUUGAGGCAAUAACAGGUCUGUGAUGCCCUUAGAUGUUCUGGGCCGCACGCGCGCUACACUGACAAAGGCAGCGAGUCAACCUUGACCGGAAGGUCUGGGUAAUCUUGGGAAACUUUGUCGUGAUGGGGAUAGACCAUUGCAAUUAUUGGUCUUUAACGAGGAAUUCCUAGUAAGCGCAAGUCAUCAGCUUGCGUUGAUUACGUCCCUGCCCUUUGUACACACCGCCCGUCGAUACUACCGAUUGAAUGGCUUAGUGAGGCCUUCGGAUCAGCGCUCGAACAUCGCAAGAUGUUUGUGUGUGGAAAAGUUGGACAAAUUUGGUCAUUUAGAGGAAGUAAAAGUCG